rnacentral:lncRNA from 1 species
CAGGCCUUCCGCGUCGUCAGAGUGACGGUACAGUGCCUGGAGCUGGGCUGUUUUGUCUUCAGAGUGGUGCCUGGUAACCGCGACUUCCCCGCCAUGUUCUGUGUGUUGCUGGCUGGAGAAGGGUGGUUGACAAACUCUGACCCAGCACGGUGUUUCUGUGGGUCAAAACUAGAAAACUAUAUCCGGGCGCCGAGGUGAAAGGAUCCCUUCAGGCCAGGAGUUAAAGAGCAGCCUAGGCAACGUGGCGCGACCCCAUCUCUGUAGUCCCACCUCAGCUUCCCAGAUACUUGAACCCCAAAGUUCAAGGCUGCAGUGAGCUAUGAUCCCAUCACAGCACUCCAGCCUGCGAGACUGAGGUAAACCCUGUCUAAAAAAGUAAAAAAACUAUCCAAGUGUGCAACAGGGAGGGACUGCUUAAAGAAAACAGAAUUGUAUGUUCAAAUACUUUUAACAAGUGCAAAAUGUAUAGGCUGAAAUAAAUAGAGCUGGCCGAGCGCGUUUGCUCACGCCUGUAAUGCCAACAUUUUCGGUGCCCUAGGCAGGCCAUCACUUGAAGUCAGGAACUCGAGGCCAGCCUGGCCAACAUGGUGAAACCCCAUGUCUACUAAAAAUAUAAAAAUUAGGCCGGGCACCUUGCAUCGUUUCAGGGGGCUGACACCUCCCUAAGGGCCCGGUAAUUGAAUCCCUCGGAUUUGAGAGUGAGAAACCUUGGCUCAGUUCUUCCCAGGGGGAUCAGCCCAGGGGUAAGCGAGGAGAGGCCAGAAAGCAGGACCCAUGAGAAGGACCCCCUCCUGGAGUUUGAGGCCCAUUCCUUCCUGCCCCUGCGUCUCCUCUUUCCAGGACUCCUCCCUGCUCUGCCGCACUCCUGGGGCCAUGGCCAUGGGGGGCUGCAUUUGGGUACAGGCCCCAGCGGCAACCCUGGGCCCAAAAUGGGCGGGCUCACCUGGAGGGGAUCAGAGUAACAUGGCAAGAAGCAGGAAAAGCCGCGCUGGAACCGCACCUCUCUGCCCCCUGAUGUCAGUGGGUGCACUCUUCCCUCACCUCACUCAGGCAGCGGCAUGAGUUCCAUGGGAGCACUGUCCUGCUCCCUCUGCUGCCUCUUUUUAGUCUUGGGGCUACCAUAACACUUUCCCUUCCCCAGCCCUGCCAACCUGGUGGCACAUUGGGCUUCCCUCUUACACGGUCCUGGGGACAGGCCCGUCUUGUAUCAUACCUGCAGCGAGACCCUUUUUUUCUCCAGGGCCUGGGGAGCAGCCAGGCUUCCUGAGCCAAAUACAGAUCUGAACCAUACCAAGCUGGGAUUGGGGUACACACUCUCCUCCUCUGAAAAC